GCCUCGUUAGCGCAGUGGGCAGCGCGACAGUCUCAUAAUCUGAAGGUCGUGAGUUCGAUCUUCAUACGGGGCA
rnacentral:tRNA from 1 species